UCCCUUCGGGGUGACGCUCGUGGAACGAGCGGCGGACGGGUGAGUAACACGUGGGCAACCUGCCUGUAAGAUCGGGAUAACUCCGGGAAACCGGGGCUAAUACCGGGUAAUACUUUCUUUCGCAUGAAGGAAAGUUGAAAGAUGGCUUCUCGCUAUCACUUACAGAUGGGCCCGCGGCGCAUUAGCUAGUUGGUGAGGUAACGGCUCACCAAGGCGACGAUGCGUAGCCGACCUGAGAGGGUGAUCGGCCACACUGGGACUGAGACACGACCCAGACUCAUACGGGAGGCAGCAGUAGGGAAUCUUCCGCAAUGGACGAAAGUCUGACGGAGCAACGCCGCGUGAACGAUGAAGGUCUUCGGAUCGUAAAGUUCUGUUGUUAGGGAAGAACAAGUACCGUGCGAAUAGAGCGGUACCUUGACGGUACCUAACGAGGAAGCCCCGGCUAACUACGUGCCAGCAGCCGCGGUAAUACGUAGGGGGCAAGCGUUGUCCGGAAUUAUUGGGCGUAAAGCGCGCGCAGGCGGUUCCUUAAGUCUGAUGUGAAAGCCCACGGCUCAACCGUGUAGGGUCAUUGGAAACUGGGGAACUUGAGGACAGAGAGGAGAGUGGAAUUCCACGUGUAGCGUGAAAUGCGUAGAUAUGUGAGGACACCAGUGGCGAAGCGACUCUCUGGUCUGUUCUGACGCUGAGGUG
rnacentral:rRNA from 1 species